rnacentral:rRNA from 1 species
GACGAACGCUGGCGGCGUGCUUAACACAUGCAAGUCGAACGGUGAAGCGCCUUCCUUUUUGGUGGGUGUGGAUGAGUGGCGAACGGGUGAGUAACACGUGAGUAACCUGCCCCCUUCUUCUGGAUAACCGCAUGAAAGUGUGGCUAAUACGGGAUAUUCUGGGCCUGUCGCAUGAUUGGUCUGGGAAAGAUAUUGUUUCGGUGGGGGAUGGGCUCGCGGCCUAUCAGCUUGUUGGUGGGGUGAUGGCCUACCAAGGCGGUGACGGGUAGCCGGCCUGGGAGGGUGGACGGUCACACUGGGACUGAGGCACGGCCCAGACUCCUACGGGAGGCAGCAGUGGGGAAUAUUGCACAAUGGGCGCAAGCCUGAUGCAGCGACGCCGCGUGAGGGAUGGAGGCCUUCGGGUUGUGAACCUCUUUCGCCAGUGAAGCAGGCCUGCCUCGUUUGUGGGUGGGUUGACGGUAGCUGGAUAAGAAGCGCCGGCUAACUACGUG